AAAAAUGUGCGGGCCGGCAUUAUCUGGAAAUAAAUCUCACGGUGGACCACCGCGCUCACGGUAUUGCACCUCGGUCUUGGUAAUUUGCGGUGAAAUACAGAAUCAUUUGACAUGUCUUACAUCAAGCGUACGACCAAGAAAAUAAGCAUGUAAUAACAGCGCUGACGAGAUUUGUAUUAUUUAUUUCAUAAAGA